CUAAAAAGCCCAGCAGCCAGAGACCCGUCUCUACAACAUCGAGCAGACAUACCAAUUCCGGAGCAGAACUACCAGGAAGACCAGCCAAGCAACAAAUAGCAGCCCAGACAUCUCAUGGACGCCCACCUGCACUACACCUCAUGGACGCCACUCAAAAAGCUUGUCCUCAUGCAUUACACCAGCUCACAUGCACUACACCACACCAACACCAAACCCACCAUUCAUGAGAAGCUCAACCAGCCCAUCUCACAUGCAUACCAGCUCACCACAAACCAUACCAGCCCACAUACCAGCCCG
rnacentral:lncRNA from 1 species